AUUGAACGCUGGCGGCAGGCCUAACACAUGCAAGUCGAACGAGUGGCGGACGGGUGAGUAAUGUCUGGGAAACUGCCCGAUGGAGGGGGGUAACUACUGGAAACGGUAGAUAAUACCGCAUACCAUCGGAUGUUCCCAGAUGGGAUUAGCUAGUGGGUGGGGUAACGGCUCACUUGGGCGACGAUCCCUAGCUGGUCUGAGAGGAUGACCGGCCACACUGGAACUGAGAAACGGUCCAGACCCCGACGGGAGGAAGCAGUGGGGAAUAUUGCACAAUGGGCGCAAGCCUGAUGCAGCAAUGCCGCGUGGAUGAAGAAGGCCUUCGGGUUGUAAAGUACUGUCAGCGAGGAGGCGUUACUCGCAGAGGAAGCACCGGCUAACUCCGUGCCAGCAGCCGCGGUAAUAC
rnacentral:rRNA from 1 species